UACGAAGGGGGCUAGCGUUGCUCGGAAUCACUGGGCGUAAAGCGCACGUAGGCGGAUUGUUAAGUCAGGGGUGAAAUCCUGGAGCUCAACUCCAGAACUGCCUUUGAUACUGGCGGUCUCGAGUCCGGGAGAGGUGAGUGGAACUGCGAGUGUAGAGGUGAAAUUCGUAGAUAUUCGCAAGAACACCAGUGGCGAAGGCGGCUCACUGGCCCGGUACUGACGCUGAGGUGCGAAAGCGUGGGGAGCAAACAGG
rnacentral:rRNA from 1 species